CAUGCCUCAGCCUCCGGAGUAGCUGGGAUUACAGGAAAGGAUGGCUUUGGACAUAUGGAGAAGAAAAAACAGAAUAUUUCUAGGAGAUGAAUUUAUUUCACCUGCAGUGAGGAACACAGGAUAUUGGUUCCAGUUUUGUCACUGACUUAUAACUUAGCUCCUGGACCUGAAGCAGACCUGCAGAGAGGAUCAAGUGCAGAGACAAGCUGCUGCUGAGAUCAUCAUAGGGGACCUCUUCUAACAUAUGAGUUCCUGAGGAAGUGCUGUGACCUUCCAAUGCUGCCACUGGUAGUCUCAUUUCAAAGAGUAAAAUGUGAAAAUCCAAUGGCAGCAGCUAUUGUGAUAUGCCAGACAGCAGGAAUUGGGACUAAAAAUCAAGGGAUACUUGUGAUAAUAGAUCCAUAGUACUUUGGAGCUGGAAGAAACCCAGCUUCAAAAAACAGCUUGAUUUGCAGCUCUUCAUUCAAAAAGAAUCCCAUCCAGGGUAUGACAUUGAACUUACUCAUCACGUCUCUAUAGUGUCUUCUGGUAUGUAAUACUUUCUCAGUCUUUCUUUAUUUCCAUAACCUUGAUUAACUGUUUUGAAGAUUACUGGUCAGCAUUUUGUAGAAUGGCUGUCAGUUUGACUUUGAUGUUUUUCUUAUGAUUAUGUUAGGGGUAUGGGGUUUGAAGAAGCAUACCAUGGGAGCGAAGUGCUCUUCUCAUCAUAUCAGGGGGUACAUAAUAGCAACAUGGUUUAUCUUUGAUCAUAUUAAUCUGGAUCACUUGGUUAAGAUAGUGCCUGCGAGGUUUCUUUUUUUGAGAUGGAGUCUUGCUCUAUCGCCCAGGCUGGAC
rnacentral:lncRNA from 1 species